CUGGCGGGCCGCUACUUGCUGAG
rnacentral:piRNA from 1 species